rnacentral:rRNA from 1 species
UAAUACGGAGGGCGCAAGCGUUGUUCGGAAUCACUGGGCGUAAAGCGCGUGUAGGCGGUUCGACAAGUCGGCUGUGAAAGCCCGAGGCUCAACCUCGGAACUGCAGCCGAAACUGCCGGGCUCGAGUCCCGGAGAGGGUGGCGGAAUUUCCGGUGUAGAGGUGAAAUUCGUAGAUAUCGGAAGGAACACCAGAGGCGAAGGCGGCCACCUGGACGGUGACUGACGCUGAGACGCGAAAGCGUGGGGAGCAAACAGGAUUAGAUACCCUGGUAGUCCACGCCGUAAACGUUGGGUGCUAGGCGUCGGCGGUAUUGACCCCGCCGGUGCCGAAGUUAACGCAUUAAGCACCCCGCCUGGGGAGUACGGCCGCAAGGCUA